rnacentral:lncRNA from 1 species
GGGCGGGGCCGGCCUGCGCCCCGGGACGGCGCUGACACGUGGUGUGCCGGGCGCUGGCAGGACGCGUGCUGCCGGGGGCCGCGUGCGGAGCCGCCCUUCCCCGCACCGUGCUGCGCAGGAGAACGUCACGCUCACCUGGGUGCCCGAUCUCACCUGGCGCGCAGGUGCUUCUGUAGCAGUGUGAAGGAUGCAGCCCAGGAAGACGCUGUGCAGAGCUGCACACCACAGUGCCUGCAGAAUUACCCGGAAAGGGCCGUCAGAACGUGUCUAGGUGGUGAGCCGGGCGUGGUUGGCGCCGCACGCACUUAAUCCCUGCUGCUCCGGAGACUGAAGCAGGAGGAUCGCACGUUCAAAGCCAGCACCAGCAAUUUAGCGAGGCCCUAAGCAGCUUAGCCAGAUCCUCUCUUAAAAUAAAGAUAAAAAGGACUGGGGAUGUGACUCAGUGGUAGAGCUCCCUGGGUUCAAUCUCCAGCACCCAAUGUGUGUGUUUUGUGUUGUCUGGGUAGACCAAGU